AAAUUGAAGAGUUUGAUCAUGGCUCAGAUUGAACGCUGGCGGCAGGCCUAACACAUGCAAGUCGAACGGUAACAGGAAGCAGCUUGCUGCUUUGCUGACGAGUGGCGGACGGGUGAGUAAUGUCUGGGAAACUGCCUGAUGGAGGGGGAUAACUACUGGAAACGGUGGCUAAUACCGCAUAACGUCGCAAGACCAAAGAGGGGGACCUUCGGGCCUCUUGCCAUCAGAUGUGCCCAGAUGGGAUUAGCUUGUUGGUGAGGUAACGGCUCACCAAGGCGACGAUCCCUAGCUGGUCUGAGAGGAUGACCAGCCACACUGGAACUGAGACACGGUCCAGACUCCUACGGGAGGCAGCAGUGGGGAAUAUUGCACAAUGGGCGCAAGCCUGAUGCAGCCAUGCCGCGUGUAUGAAGAAGGCCUUCGGGUUGUAAAGUACUUUCAGCGGGGAGGAAGGUGUUGCGGUUAAUAACCGCAGCAAUUGACGUUACCCGCAGAAGAAGCACC
rnacentral:rRNA from 2 species